AACGUAGGACGCAAGCGUUAUCCGGAGUUAUUGGGCGUAAAGCGCGCGCAGGCGGUCCUUUAAGUCUGAUGUGAAAUCUUGCGGCUCAACCGCAAGCGGUCAUUGGAAACUGGGGGACUUGAGUACAGAAGAGGAAAGCGGAAUUCCACGUGUAGCGGUGAAAUGCGUAGAGAUGUGGAGGAACACCAGUGGCGAAGGCGGCUUUCUGGUCUGUAACUGACGCUGAGGCGCGAAAGCGUGGGGAGCAAACAGG
rnacentral:rRNA from 1 species